UCCUUGAUGGUCCAGUGGUUAAGACUCUGCACUUCCAAAGAAGGGGUACAGGUUUGAUUCUUGAUUGGGGAA
rnacentral:tRNA from 1 species